rnacentral:tRNA from 1 species
CUCUGGUUAGUCCAGUGGCUGGAAUUCCUGGUUUUCACCCAGGCUGCACAGGUUCAAUUCCUGAGCAGAAA